ensembl:lncRNA
AAAGAAUUGAUGCUUUUGAACUGUGGUGUAGGAGAAGACUCUUGAGAGUCCCUAGGACUGCAAGGAGAUUCAACCAUUCCAUUCUGAAGGAGAUCAGCCUUGGGAUUUCUUUGGAAGGAAUGAUGCUAAAGCUGAAACUCCAGUACUUUGGCCACCUCAUGCAAAGAGUUGACUCAUUGGAAAAGACUCUGAUGCUGGGAGGGACUGAGGGCAGGAGGAGAAGGGGACGACAGAGGAUGAGAUGGCUGGAUGGUAUCACUGACUCGAUGGACGUGAGUCUGAGUGAACUCCAGGGGUUGGUUAUGGACAGGGAGGCCUGGCGUGCUGCGAUUCACGGGGUCGCAAAGAGUCGGACACGACUGAGCGAGUGAACUGAACUGAACUGAUGUGCCCGAGAGAGACAGAGAAGGAAAGAGGGAGGGAGACGGAGAGACUGUAAUUCCUCCUCGUGGCCACAUGAUGGCACUAUUGCUCAGAGUCUUUACUUUGAAAAGCAAAUCAGCCCUGCGCUCUGCAGACAUUUCUGGUCCAACCCGCUCAAUGGGGUCAGGAUUCAACAAGACCCUGAAGACUAAGACAGAAGGUAAAGCCCAGAAGUUGGGGUCUGGGCGUAACUGUUCUCUGGCCUUAAAUGCUGAGGCCCGAUUUCCUCUUUGCAGACUGAGCUCCAUCACUGAAGGAAAUCACUCCCACUUCAAACCAGUCUCUUCCCCAACCCCGGUCAAACCCUGACACAGCUACUUUGCCGGGAGUGGUGAGAAUUACUACUGCAGCUAGGUCACUUAAGGUAAUAAUUAGAACAAUCAUUAAUUUCUGAGGCCUAAGUGACUCAUUUAUCUCUGAUAUGCACAGGGAUCAAAGGAGAGUAUUUAUGGCUGAGAAACAAACCUCCCAUUCUUUCCCCUGCUACAGUAAAUAAUGAAGAGCUUCCAAGCCUGCCUUCUUCGCCCAUCUCUCCCGGGGAUUUUGUCUUUAACGUCCGUGUACAAAACCAACCCGCCUCUCCCUUCUCUCCACUCCUUGCUCUUUAAGAACCACAGCAUGUCAAGCCGCUCUUUGCCCAGCUCAGACUCUCGGCUGAGAGUGGAGGGAGGGGUGCUCAUCCCUCCAUCCCAGCGGAGGGCACCAAGCCCCUGACCUUCGGCAGGCCCAGGGUGAGAAUCAGGUGGGCUCUCCCUGGAAAUAUGCCAUCUUGAUUUUGCCGAGGUAUGUACACAAGUGCCAGUCAGUCUGCCUGGGUCGGCUGGAAACCUGGCCCCAUCAGCUGUUUGCUGUGUGACCUUGACACACAGGUUAAGUUCCUUGACCUCUUUAAGCCUCAGUUUCCCAAACUCUGAAAUAGGGAUAAUAAUAGCAUCUAAGAUUGGCUUAUGAAAAUUACCUAAGAUAAAAGAUGUAAAAUGCUUACUUAGUACAG